rnacentral:rRNA from 1 species
CACGUAGGGUGCGAGCGUUGUCCGGAAUUAUUGGGCGUAAAGAGCUCGUAGGCGGUCUGUCGCGUCGGCUGUGAAAACCCGGAGCUCAACUCCGGGCCUGCAGUCGAUACGGGCAAACUGGAGUGUUGCAGGGAGACUGGAAUUCCUGGUGUAGCGGUGAAUGCGCAGAUAUCAGGAGGAACACCGAUGGCGAAGGCAGAUCUCUGGGCCUUACCUGACGCUGAGGAGCGAAAGCUGGGGAGCGAACGG